GUAGGUAUAGCUUAGUGGUAGAGCACAUGCUUAACAUGCACAAGGUCCUGGGUUCAGUCCCCUGUACCUCCA
rfam:Camelus ferus unplaced genomic scaffold scaffold365, whole genome shotgun sequence.